UGUUAGGAUGGUGUAGUGAACAAGGUCA
rnacentral:piRNA from 1 species